CUGGCUCAGGAUGAACGCUAGCGACAGGCUUAACACAUGCAAGUCGAGGGGCAGCGGGGGCGAAGCUUGCUUCGCCUGCCGGCGACCGGCGCACGGGUGAGUAACACGUAUGCGACCUGCCCCCCGCAGGGGGAUAACCGGGAGAAAUCCCGACUAAUACCGCGUAACGCCGCUGGGCUGCAUGGCCCGGCGGCCAAAGGAAGCGAUUCCGGCGGGGGAUGGGCAUGCGGCGCAUUAGCUAGUCGGCGGGGUAACGGCCCACCGAGGCGACGAUGCGUAGGGGUUCUGAGAGGAAGGUCCCCCACACUGGUACUGAGACACGGACCAGACUCCUACGGGAGGCAGCAGUGAGGAAUAUUGGUCAAUGGGCGGGAGCCUGAACCAGUCAAGUCGCGUGAGGGAAGACGGUCCUACGGAUUGUAAACCUCUUUUGCCGGGGAGCAACGGGGUCCUUGCGAGGGCCCGAUGAGAGUACCCGGAGAAAAAGCAUCGGCUAACUCCGUGCCAGCAGCCGCGGUAAUACGGAGGAUGCGAGCGUUAUCCGGAUUUAUUGGGUUUAAAGGGUGCCGUAGGCGGGCUGUUAAGUCAGCGGUCAAAUGUCGGGGCUCAACCCCGGCCUGCCGUUGAAACUGGCGGCCUCGAGUGGGCGAGAAGUAUGCGGAAUGCGUGGUGUAGCGGUGAAAUGCAUAGAUAUCACGCAGAACUCCGAUUGCGAAGGCAGCAUACCGGCGCCCGACUGACGCUGAGGCACGAAAGCGUGGGUAUCGAACAGGAUUAGAUACCCUGGUAGUCCACGCAGUAAACGAUGAAUGCUAGCUGUCCGGUUCUACGGGACUGGGUGGCACAGCGAAAGCGUUAAGCAUUCCACCUGGGGAGUACGCCGGCAACGGUGAAACUCAAAGGAAUUGACGGGGGCCCGCACAAGCGGAGGAACAUGUGGUUUAAUUCGAUGAUACGCGAGGAACCUUACCCGGGCUCAAACGCCAAAGGACAGCCGCUGAAAGGCGGCCUCCCUCCGGGGUCUUUGGCGAGGUGCUGCAUGGUUGUCGUCAGCUCGUGCCGUGAGGUGUCGGCUUAAGUGCCAUAACGAGCGCAACCCCCAUCGACAGUUGCUAACGGGUGAUGCCGAGGACUCUGUCGAGACUGCCGGCGCAAGCUGCGAGGAAGGCGGGGAUGACGUCAAAUCAGCACGGCCCUUACGUCCGGGGCGACACACGUGUUACAAUGGCCGGUACAGCGGGAUGCCAGGGCGCGAGCCCGAGCGGAACCCGAAAACCGGUCUCAGUUCGGAUUGGAGUCUGCAACCCGACUCCAUGAAGCUGGAUUCGCUAGUAAUCGCGCAUCAGCCACGGCGCGGUGAAUACGUUCCCGGGCCUUGCACUCACCGCCCGUCAAG
rnacentral:rRNA from 1 species